rnacentral:rRNA from 1 species
CCCUUAGAUGUUCUGGGCUGCACGCGCGCUACACUGAUGCGCUCAACGAGUUUAUGACCUUGCCCGGAAGGGUUGGGUAAUCUUUUCAAAACGCAUCGUGAUGGGGAUAGAUUAUUGCAAUUAUUAAUCUUCAACGAGGAAUUCCUAGUAAGCGCGAGUCAUCAGCUCGUGCUGAUUACGUCCCUGCCCUUUGUACACACCGCCCGUCGCUACUACCGAUUGAACGGUUUAGUGAGGGCCUCGGAUUGGUCUCGGCCCGCUCUUUACCGGGCGGCGCCGUUGGUCGAGAAGACGCUCGAACUUGAUCGUUUAGAGGAAGUAAAAGUCGUAACA